rnacentral:rRNA from 1 species
AGGAUAAACGCUGGCGGCGUGCAUGAGACAUGCAAGUCGAACGGACGAUCAGGGCUUGCUCUGAUCGUUAGUGGCGGACGGCUGAGUAACGCGUAGGUGACCUGCCCCGAAGUGGGGAAUAACUGCCCGAAAGGGUGGCUAAUACCGCAUGUGGUGGUGUGUUCAUUCACACCAGUAAAGCCGCAAGGCGCUUCGGGAGGGGCCUGCGUCCGAUUAGCUCGUUGGUGGGUAACGGCUCACCAAGGCGACGAUCGGUAAGUGGUCUGAGAGGACGAUCACCCAGACUGGGACUGAGACACGGCACAGACUCCUACGGGAGGCAGCAGUCGGGAAUUUUGCGCAAUGGACGAAAGUCUGACGCAGCAACGCCGCGUGAGGGAUGAAGGCCUUCGGGUUGUAAACCUCUUUUAUCAGGGAAGAUAAUGACGGUACCUGAUGAAUAAGUCACGGCUAACUACGUGCCAGCAGCCGC